AUGAACAAAGCUAGUGGAGGGGAUGGAAUUCCAGUUGAGCUGUUUGAAAUCCUGAAAGAUGAUACUGUGAAAGAGCUGCACUCAAUAUGCCAGCAAAUUUGGAAAACUCAGCAGGGGCCACAGGACUGGAAAAGGUCGGUUCUCAUUCCAAUUCCAAAGAAAGGCAAUGCCAAAGAAUGCUCAAACUACUGCACAAUUGCACUCAUCUCACACACUAGUAAAGUAAUGCUCAAAAUUCUCCAAGCCAGGCUUCAGCAGUACAUGAACCGUGAACUCCCUGAUGUUCAAGCUGGUUUUAGAAAAGGCAGAGGAACCAGAGAUCAAAUUGCCAACAUCCGCUGGAUCAUGGAAAAAGCAAGAGAGUUCCAGAAAAACAUCUAUUUCUGCUUUCUUGACUAUGCCAAAGCCUUUGACUGUGUGGAUCACAAUAAACUGUGGAAAACUCUGAAAGAGAUGGGAAUACCAGACCACCUGACCUGCCUCUUGAGAAAUCUGUAUGCAGGUCAGGAAGCAACAGUUAGAACUGGACAUGGAACUACAGACUGGUUCCAAAGAAAAGGAGCAGGUCAAGGCUGUAUAUUGUCCCCCUGCUUAUUUAACUUCUAUGCAGAGUACAUCAUGAGAAACGCUGGACUGGAAGAAACACAAGCUGGAAUCAAGAUUGCCGGGAGAAAUAUCAAUAACCUCAGAUAUGCAGAUGACACCACCCUUAUGGCAGAAAGGGAAGAGGAGCUAAAAAGCCUCUUGAUGAAAGUGAAAGAGGAGAGCGAAACAGUUGUCUUAAAGCUCAACAUUCAGAAAACGAAGAUCAUGGCAUCCGGUCCCAUCACUUCAUGGGAAAAAGAUGAGGAAACAGUGGAAACAGUGUCAGACUUUGUUUUUUUGGGCUCCAAAAUCACUGCAGAUGGUGACUGCAGCCAUGAAAUUAAAAGACGCUCACUCCUUAGAAGAAAAGUUAUGACCAACCUAGAUAGCAUAUUCAAAGGCAGAGACAUUACUUUGCCGACUAAGGUCCAUCUAGUCAAGGCUAUGGUUUUUCCUGUGGUCAUGUAUGGAUGUGAGAGUUGGACUGUGAAGAAGGCUGAGCUCUGA
rnacentral:lncRNA from 1 species